UUAAAGGGCUACUCUAAGUACGUUGGGUAGUCGCCGUAGGAUAGGACAGUCGCGGAUCAUGGUUGAUGAAAGGGUAAAGUCCUUUCAUGCCUGUGACCCGGACGGGCGAUGUAAGUCGUGGCCCGGAGAAGGGAACUGAGACAAGGUCCCUAGCCCCACGGGGUGCAGCAGUUACGAAACCUCACCAAUGCGCGAAAGCGUGAGUGGGCCAAGCCGAGUGAUGGGAGAUAAUUCCAUCUGUGGCGAAACCGUAGUAAGGUUCGCUAGAAAGGAGAGGGCAAGGCUGGUGCCAGCCGCCGCGGUAAAACCAGCUCUUCGAGUGGUGUCCAUGAUUAUUGAGCUUAAAGCGUUCGUAGCCUGUUUGGUAGGUUCCUGCUCAAAUCCGGUCGCUUAACGGUCGGACUGGUAGGAAUACCGCCUUACUUGGGGACGGGAGACGGCGACGGUAUUCCGUAGGUAAGGGUGAAAUCUAAUGAUCUACGGAGGACCACCAGUGGCGAAGGCGGUCGUCGAGAACGUGCCCGACGGUGAGGGACGAAACCCAGGGGAGCAAAUCGGAUUAGAUACCCGAGUAGUCCUGGGCGUAAACGAUGCCCGUUAAGUGUUGCAUUGGCCACGAGCCACUGCAGUGCUGUAGCGAAAGCGGUAAACGGGCCGCUUGGGAAGUACGGUCGCAAGACUGAAACUUAAAGGAAUUGGCGGGGGAGCACCACAAGGGGUGGAGCUUGCGGUUUAAUUGGACAACGCCGGAAAUCUUACCCGCCCAGACAGCCGAAUGAGAGCCAGACUGAUGAUCUUGCUCGACGAGCUGAGAGCUGGUGCAUGGCCAUCGUAAAUUCGUGCCGUGAGGUAUCAGCUUAAGUGCUGCAACGAAUGAGAUCCCUGCCACCUAGUUGCCAGCCGGGGGCUUCGGCCCUGACGGGGCACACUAGGGGGACCGCUAGCGAGAAGCUGGAGGAAGGUGGGGGCCACGGUAGGUCAGUAUGCCGCGAUAUGGGCGGGGCCACACGCGUGCUACAAUGGCUGGGACAAUGCGUCACAACACCGAAAGGUGAAGUCAAUCGCGAAACCCAGCCGUAGUUGGAAUCGGGGGUUGGAACUCACCCCCGUGAACCUGGAAUCCCUAGUAUCCGCGUGUCACUAUCGCGCGGAGAAUACGUCCCUGCCUCUUGCACACACCGCCCGUCGCUCCAUGCGAGCGGAUCUGGGGUGAGGCAUCGUCCACUGGGCGCUGACGAAUCUUGGGUUCGCAAGUAGGGAGAAGUCGUAACAAGGUA
rnacentral:rRNA from 1 species